rnacentral:rRNA from 1 species
UACAGAGACUGCAAGCGUUAUUCGGAUUCACUGGGCGUAAAGGGUGCGCAGGCGGCCAUGUGUGUGAGGCGUGAAAGCCCGAUGCUUAACAUCGGAAUUGCACCUCAAAACUACAUGGCUAGAGCAUUGGAGAGGGUAGCGGAAUUCACGGUGUAGCAGUGAAAAUGCGUAGAUAUCGUGAGGAAACACCAGAGGCGAAAGGCGGCUACC